CCUACGGGAGGCAGCAGUAGGGAAUUUUCGUCAAUGGGCGCAAGCCUGAACGAGCGAUGCCGCGUGAGUGAAGAAGGCCUUCGGGUCGUAAAGCUCUGUUGCGGGGGAAAAAAGGCAGCAUCAGGAAAUGGGUGCUGACUGAUGGUGCCCCGCCAGAAAGUCACGGCUAACUACGUGCCAGCAGCCGCGGUAAUACGUAGGUGGCGAGCGUUAUCCGGAAUGGUUGGGCGUAAAGGGGGCGCAGGCGGUCCUGCAAGUCUGGAGUGAAACGCAUGGGCUCAACUCAUGCAUGGCUUUGGAAACUGGAGGACUGGAGAGCAGGAGAGGGCGGUGGAACUCCAAGUGUAGCGGUAAAAUGCGUAGAUAUAUGGAAGAACACCAGUGGCGAAGGCGGCCGCCUGGCCUGUUGCUGACGCUGAGGCACGAAAGCGUGGGGAGCAAAUAGGAUUAGAUACCCUGGUAGUC
rnacentral:rRNA from 1 species